rnacentral:misc_RNA from 1 species
AACGCACGAGACCUGCGGACCUGCGGAAGGAUCAUUAAUGAGAAGCUGCCCCUCGUGGGUAGACCUCCCACCCUCUGUGAACUUACCUUUGUUGCUUUGGCAGGCCCGUCCUCUGGACCGCCGGCUUCGGCUGGCCCGUGCCUGCCAGAGGAUUCCAAACCCUGUCCGUCAGUGUUGUCUGAGUCUAUAUGAAAUCGUUAAAACUUUCAGCAAUGGAUCUCUAGAUCGGAAGAGCACACG